GACGAACCGUGCAAACGUUGUUCGGAAUCACUGGGCUUAAAGGGCGCGUAGGCGGGCAAGCAAGUCGAAGGUGAAAUCCCACGGCUCAACCGUGGAAGUGCCCCCGAUACUGCUUGUCUUGAGGGAGAUAGGGGCGUGCGGAACUUCCGGUGGAGCGGUGAAAUGCGUAGAUAUCGGAAGGAACACCGGUGGCGAAAGCGGCGCGCUGGAUCUCUUCUGACGCUGAGGCGCGAAAGCCAGGGGAGCAAACGGGAUUAGAUACCCCGGUAGUCCUGGCCCUAAACGUUGGGUACUAGGUAGUGGACUUACAUGGGUUCACUGCCGAAGCAAAAGUGAUAAGUACCCCGCCUGGGGAGUAUGGUCGCAAGGCUGAA
rnacentral:rRNA from 1 species